rnacentral:piRNA from 1 species
UUGUCUCUCCUAAGAAAAGGGAAUGGUGGU